rnacentral:rRNA from 1 species
GACGUAGGGGGCCAGCGUUGUUCGGAAUUACUGGGUGUAAAGGGUUCGUAGGCGGUGUGGCAAGUCGGGAGUGAAAUCUCUGGGCUCAACCCAGAGACUGCUUCCGAAACUGCUGUGCUUGAGUGUGAGAGAGGCUCGUGGAAUUGCAGGUGUAGCGGUGAAAUGCGUAGAUAUCUGCAGGAACACCCGUGGCGAAAGCGGCGAGCUGGAUCACUACUGACGCUGAGGCACGAAAGCGUGGGGAGCAAACAGG